GACGAACGCUGGCGGCGUGCUUAACACAUGCAAGUCGAGCGGUAAGGCCCUUUCGGGGGUACGACGAGCGGCGAACGGGUGAGUAACACGUGGGUGACCUCGCCCUCCAGCUCUGGGAGUAAGCCUGGGAAACGUGGGUCUAAUACCGGAUAUGACUCCAUGACGCAUGUUGUGGGGUGGAAAGCCUUGUGCGGCUGAGGAUGGGCCCGCGGCCUAUCAGCUUGUUGGUGGGGUGAGGCCUACCAAGGCGACGACGGGUAGCCGGCCUGAGAGGGCGACCGGCCACACUGGGACUGAGACACGGCCCAGACUCCUACGGGAGGCAGCAGUGGGGAAUCUUGCGCAAUGGGCGAAAGCCUGACGCAGCGACGCCGCGUGAGGGAUGACGG
rnacentral:rRNA from 1 species